rnacentral:rRNA from 1 species
GACGAACCGUGCGAACGUUAUUCGGAAUCACUGGGCUUAAAGCGCGUGUAGGCGGGGCGGAACGUCGGUCGCUGAAAUCCCCCGGCUCAACCGGGGAAGGGGCGCCGAUACGACCGGCCUGGAGGGACGUAGGGGGAGCUGGAGCUUCCGGUGGAGCGGUGAAAUGCGUUGAGAUCGGAAGGAACGCCCGUGGCGAAAGCGAGCUCCUGGACGUUUUCUGACGCUGAGACGCGAAAGCCAGGGGAGCGAACGGG